rnacentral:lncRNA from 1 species
AUUGGGAUUUCACCCUGCCUCGCUCUCUGGCACAGCCUGUCCACCAGGCCUGCGGAUGUCCGAUCCUGGGUCAUCUGCCUUACCCGCUUGUUCCCUGGCUUCGAACGGAACGGAUGACUUUGCCUCAGGCAUGCUAACCUUCUCCUCCAGAAGCCCACAAUUCGUAUGGGGUGAGAAUUCAUAUGGAAUGACAGAGUUUUCUUGAGUAAUUGAGCAGAGCUUCCUCUGACUUUCCUACAGGAAACAGAGGAAAGGGAACCUCUGCCACUCCAGUGCAGCCUGACAUUCCUGAGAUGACUCAAGACACAACUAAACAAAUGGUGGUUGGAGAAAAAGAUGUAUAUGUGGGAUUGAAAGAAGAUAGGCAAGAACGAGAACGAGAACAGUCUUACAUGCCAAUCACGGGACGUGGACUUCCUCCUGACACAGUGGGACGAAAACAGUAUAGAGUGUGUUAGUACUCACUCACUUACUUAGUUCAGCCUAAUUCAGGUUCAUACAAAUUCCCCCUUUCCCUGUCUUUAGUGG